rnacentral:tRNA from 1 species
GCCCUUGUCGUCUAGCCCGGACAGGACGUGAGCUUGCGGAGCUUGAAACCGGGGUUCGAAUCCCCGCGAGGGCA